GACUGGUCCAAGUGCAGUGGUGUUUACAACUAAUUGAUCACAACUAUUGUUUCUUCUCCAUUCCCACUGCUUCAUUUGACUAGUCUUUA
rnacentral:Y_RNA from 1 species